UUCAGGGUAAAGUGCUGCCUAGUGUAAGAGUUUCAGAUCCAGGUCUUCUACUUAAACCUGACGAACCAAAUUUGAUUAUAAUGGCAAAACCAGCAGGUGGCCCUAGUAAGAGAGAUCAGCAUGCAGGGAUGGAUGAGGACUAAUUUUGUGUGUAUGACAAUUGACUAUCUUUGCUUUUAUUGCUCUAUGUUAGGGAUCUUUUGUUCCAUUUUAGUAACAAUUUUGUUUAGGAGAAAAAGAAACAUAUUGCAGUUCAUGCUUUGUAAAUGCCACUCUUCUGUUAUGAUGGACACGUGGUAUGCCCUUGUUGGGUAGGUUUUGGAUUGAAACCAUGGUCGAGUGCUUGAGCCAUGUUUA